GAGAUGACACUACAGACAGUAAUGAGGAUAGGAGCCGGCCAUUUACACAUGACACUCUGGAAGGAGGAAGAAUUCCAAGAUGGCAGGAAACUGGCUGCUUUCACCUACCCAGCAUUCUUCUCAUACAAGCACAGUGUUGUGCGUUUCACCAGAAAAAAAAAAAUCAAGACUUGGGGUUCUUUGCCGCCUUGCCAGGAAGCGCUCCUCUCUCUCCCCCAACACCUUCUAGAUUGGUUGUUGAAGCUCAAACACAGGAAGCUCCUGGAAAGUAGGGUCAUUCCCAACUCACGUCUGUUCUCUGGCCAUGAGUCAUCACUGUGGUAGCCCAGUAAAUGUUGGUUGGAUCACCACAUCCUCACUGUAUGUGAUACAUAGGUAAAGGAGAACCCUUGCUUUCUGUAUGAAUCCCUCGCAAGUGAAGAUCCAUUUCUUACAUAUUCUUAUUCUUCCCAGUUAGCCCUCAGCAGUGAUGCAACGGGUGCUCAAUAAAUGUUUUC